GCGCAGCUGAAAGGCCAGAAGGAGACAAACCGGUCACCAAACAGCCACUGCUUCCCUCCCUGGGAGGUCCCUGCGGCGGGCCUCCGUGAUUACGCACCCGCAGAACUACCUCUGGCUGGGAGGGUAGGGUACAUUUAGAAAAACCAGUCACCUCUCUACACUAGCGUAGUGAUCAAAGCCGCGACACUACGUCCUCAUUCCCUGUCGCUCCAUUUAAACAGAUUUCAGCCUCAGAUCAGCCACCCCACCCCCUCGCGCGUGGUGACCUUGGGUAAUGCCACCCAAUUUGCCAUCCAACUCCCAUUUUCCCUUCUGCAAUGAAGGUAUGAUGGUGUGGGUGACUGCUAGACUAGAUGACCCUAGGCUCCACUCAGCUCAAACCCACCACAGUCUGCAGUCCUUUCGCCCCUACCCGCUUCCUCCACAACCAAGCUGCCCGACAACCUCAGGGCUACAACCUCUCUCCCUCCCUUUCCGCAACAGUAACAACUUGGAGUUGUGGCUAUAAAUAAGACCCAGACCGUGGGAACGCGAGAGUGAGCCAAGGCAGUAAAAUGUAGAUGAAUGCUUCUCAACAACCACGGGCGGAAGUCUGGAAGAAAUCACCGCGGGGCGAGAGGGACGCCCGCAGAGGGGGACGCGGCGAGCUGCCCUUACCAGUCAUCUGCGCCCGCUGCAGGUUCCGGAGGUGCUUCACUGUCAUUUCCAGAAUGUCCGCCUUCUCCAGCUUGGAAUGCCGGGAGCUCUGCACAUAUGAGGAAGCGAGAGAGAAAAGUCAGACCCCUGUCAGCUGCCUCAGAGUGUUGGGGUCCCUAACUCCGGCCGCAGCUCCCAUAUCCCCGGACCCCUGGCAAGAGGGCCCAGCCUUCCUGUUUAGAAGAAGGCAGUGCUUGGCUGGUAACUUUCAGCCAAUGGGAGGAGGAGACACGCGGCACCGCUCGUGGACCGCGCCCCCCCAUUGGCCGCCAGGCACAAGGUCUGGCGGCCAAUGGCGCGCGCCUGAGCCCGGGGCACCGGAGGCUACAACGUCAAUCAAAAGGAUUUUAACCCUUUGCUACUCUCCCCUCUGGGCUUUCCUUCAGAGAAGUUUUUCCGCUUUGGUUUUGAUCUGGGCUAUUUCUUUCCAGGCCAAGGUCUUUGCUCUUUAUUCUCUUAGCUAUAUGUAAUACAGCUACUUUUUAAUAAUUUAACUUGAGAUUUUUUUUUUAAAUAAAAAGGCAUAGAAGGCCAAGGAAAAAAAAAAACAUAUUUGCGGUGGUUAAAAAAGAGCGGGGGAACUCAUGAGAAGGUAUGUUACCAAAAUAUCUGAAGUGAUUUCUCACUCAGAUGAUGAUAUUCAGGGGGGUGAAAAUAGAUCAUGUAGAAAAUAAAAGAUCUUUAAAAUUC